rnacentral:rRNA from 1 species
AUUGAACGCUGGCGGAAUGCUUUACACAUGCAAGUCGAACGGCAGCACGGACUUCGGUCUGGUGGCGAGUGGCGAACGGGUGAGUAAUAUAUCGGAACGUGCCCAGUCGUGGGGGAUAACGUAGUGAAAAUUACGCUAAUACCGCAUACGAUCUAUGGAUGAAAGCGGGGGAUCGCAAGACCUCGCGCGAUUGGAGCGGCCGAUAUCAGAUUAGGUAGUUGGUGAGGUAAAGGCUCACCAAGCCGACGAUCUGUAGCCGGUCUGAGAGGACGACCAGCCACACUGGAACGGAGACACGGUCCAGACUCCUACGGGAGGCAGCAGUGGGGAAUUUUGGACAAUGGACGCAAGUCUGAUCCAGCCAUUCCGCGUGCAGGACGAAGGCCUUCGGGUUGUAAACUGCUUUUGUACAGAACGAAAAGGUCUCUAUUAAUACUAGGGGCUCAUGACGGUACUGUAAGAAUAAGCACCGGCUAACUACGUGCCAGCAGCCGCGGUAAUAC